GAUGAACGCUGGCGGCGUGCCUAAUACAUGCAAGUCGAGCGAACGGACGAGAAGCUGGCUUCUCUGAUGUUAGCGGCGGACGGGUGAGUAACACGUGGAUAACCUACCUAUAAGACUGGGAUAACUUCGGGAAACCGGAGCUAAUACCGGAUAAUAUUUUGAACCGCAUGGUUCAAAAGUGAAAGACGGUCUUGCUGUCACUUAUAGAUGGAUCCGCGCUGCAUUAGCUAGUUGGUAAGGUAACGGCUUACCAAGGCAACGAUGCAUAGCCGACCUGAGAGGGUGAUCGGCCACACUGGAACUGAGACACGGUCCAGACUCCUACGGGAGGCAGCAGUAGGGAAUCUUCCGCAAUGGGCGAAAGCCUGACGGAGCAACGCCGCGUGAGUGAUGAAGGUCUUCGGAUCGUAAAACUCUGUUAUUAGGGAAGAACAUAUGUGUAAGUAACUGUGCACAUCUUGACGGUACCUAAUCAGAAAGCCACGGCUAACUACGUG
rnacentral:rRNA from 1 species